UAUUUACAAAACUAAACCUGGUUCUUGAAUGUCUAAAUAAGAGUAUCAUACCUAAACAUUGACCUAAAAACAUUAAAAAAGCUAUCCUAUAAUAAUGGGGACAGUUGCAGCCAGUGAGAAGUAAGGAAGUAACAGGGAAAUUUAAUGUAUAUCUGUAAGGAAUGAUUAACCAUUGCUAACAAAAAUCGAUUCUGAGCGGAGUUUAGUUUAUAAUGUUGCUUUGUAAACAAUACAUAUGCCAUAUUAAAGUAAAAUAAUAACAUAGGCAAUAUAUAUUCUCUUUAAUAAUAUUUGUUUAAUAUUGUAUUUAUUUUCCCGUUUUUUUUUCAAAUUUUUAAAAUAAAAAAAAGAUCUGAUACUGGGGAUGGGAGCGGCUACUGUUUUAGGUAAGAAGUUGAGA